CCUACGGGUGGCUGCAGUCGAGAAUCAUUCACAAUGGGGGAAACCCUGAUGGUGCGACGCCGCGUGGGGGAAUGAAGGUCUUCGGAUUGUAAACCCCUGUCAUGUGGGAGCAAAUUAAAAAGAUAGUACCACAAGAGGAAGAGACGGCUAACUCUGUGCCAGCAGCCGCGGUAAUACAGAGGUCUCAAGCGUUGUUCGGAAUCACUGGGCGUAAGGCGUGCGUAGGCUGUUUCGUAAGUCGUGUGUGAAAGGCGCGGGCUCAACCCGCGGACGGCACAUGAUACUGCGAGACUAGAGUAAUGGAGGGGGAACCGGAAUUCUCGGUGUAGCAGGGAAAUGCGUAGAUAUCGAGAGGAACACUCGUGGCGAGGGCGGGUUCCUGGACAGUAACUGACGCUGAGGCACGAAGGCCAGGGGAGCGAAAGGGAUUAGAUACCCUUGUAGUC
rnacentral:rRNA from 1 species